rnacentral:rRNA from 1 species
GACGAACGCUGGCGGCGUGCUUAACACAUGCAAGUCGAACGGAAAGGCCCUGCUUUUGUGGGGUGCUCGAGUGGCGAACGGGUGAGUAACACGUGAGUAACCUGCCCUUGACUUUGGGAUAACUUCAGGAAACUGGGGCUAAUACCGGAUAGGAGCUCCUGCUGCAUGGUGGGGGUUGGAAAGUUUCGGCGGUUGGGGAUGGACUCGCGGCUUAUCAGCUUGUUGGUGGGGUAGUGGCUUACCAAGGCUUUGACGGGUAGCCGGCCUGAGAGGGUGACCGGCCACAUUGGGACUGGGAGACGGCCCAGACUCCUACGGGAGGCAGCAGUGGGGAAUAUUGCACAAUGGGCGGAAGCCUGAUGCAGCAACGCCGCGUGCGGGAUGACGGCCUUCGGGUUGUAAACCGCUUUCGCCUGUGACGAAGCGUGAGUGACGGUAAUGGGUAAAGAAACACCGGCUAACUACGU